AGAGUUUGAUCAUGGCUCAGGAUGAACGCUAGCUACAGGCUUAACACAUGCAAGUCGCGGGGCAGCAUGUCGGUUGCUUGCAACCGAUGAUGGCGACCGGCGCACGGGUGAGUAACGCGUAUCCAACCUGCCCUGCGGUAGGGAACAGCCCGGCGAAAGUCGGAUUAAUGCCCUAUGUGCUCAUUUGACGGCAUCAGAUUUUGAGCAAAGGAUUCGUUCGCCGCAGGAUGGGGAUGCGUCCGAUUAGCUUGCCGGCGGGGUAACGGCCCACCGGGGCAUCGAUCGGUAGGGGUUCUGAGAGGAAGGUCCCCCACACUGGUACUGAGACACGGACCAGACUCCUACGGGAGGCAGCAGUGAGGAAUAUUGGUCAAUGGGCGUGAGCCUGAACCAGCCAAGUAGCGUGCAGGAAGACGGCCCUAUGGGUUGUAAACUGCUUUUGGAGGGGAAUAAAGUGGCGUACGUGUACGCCUUUGUAUGUACCCUCAGAAUAAGGACCGGCUAAUUCCGUGCCAGCAGCCGCGGUAAUACGGAAGGUCCGGGCGUUAUCCGGAUUUAUUGGGUUUAAAGGGAGCGCAGGCCGCCGAUUAAGCGUGACGUGAAAUGUCCCGGCUCAACCGGGGAGUUGCGUCGCGAACUGGUUGGCUUGAGUGCGGACGAGGUAUGCGGAAUUCGUGGUGUAGCGGUGAAAUGCUUAGAUAUCACGAAGAACCCCGAUUGCGAAGGCAGCGUACCAGGCCGUAACUGACGCUAAUGCUCGAAGGUGCGGGUAUCGAACAGGAUUAGAUACCCUGGUAGUCCGCACGGUAAACGAUGGAUGCCCGCUGUUUGCGAUAUAGUGUAAGCGGCCAAGCGAAAGCGUUAAGCAUCCCACCUGGGGAGUACGCCGGCAACGGUGAAACUCAAAGGAAUUGGCGGGGGCCCGCACAAGCGGAGGAACAUGUGGUUUAAUUCGAUGAUACGCGAGGAACCUUACCCGGGCUUGAACUGCCAGCGAACGAAACAGAGAUGUUGAGGCCCUUCGGGGCGCUGGUGGAGGUGCUGCAUGGUUGUCGUCAGCUCGUGCCGUGAGGUGUCGGCUUAAGUGCCAUAACGAGCGCAACCCCUCUUUUCAGUUGCCAUCAGGUAGAGCUGGGCACUCUGGAGACACUGCCACCGUAAGGUGUGAGGAAGGUGGGGAUGACGUCAAAUCAGCACGGCCCUUACGUCCGGGGCUACACACGUGUUACAAUGGGUGGUACAGAAAGCGGGAGUGUCGCAAGUCACUCCGAAUCCUGAAAGCCAUCCUCAGUUCGGAUUGGGGUCUGCAACCCGACCCCAUGAAGCUGGAUUCGCUAGUAAUCGCGCAUCAGCCAUGGCGCGGUGAAUACGUUCCCGGGCCUUGUACACACCGCCCGUCAAGCCAUGAAAGCCUGGGGCGCCUGAAGUCCGUGACCGCGAGGGUCGGCCUAGGGUGAAACAGGUGAUUGGGGCUAAGUCGUAACCAAGGUAACCGUAA
rnacentral:rRNA from 1 species